AAUAAGGUGCCUGACUAAAGGACUAUUUUGAUAGAAUAGAUCAUGUAUUAUAUACCCUUAUUA
rnacentral:tRNA from 1 species